AAGCUGUUAUACAUCGCGAUGUCAAGUCUGCAAACAUAUUGCUCGACGAGAGUUUUAUGGCAAAAGUUGCUGAUUUUGGUCUAUCGAAGACAGGGCCUGAGCUUGAUCAAACCCAUGUUAGCACGGCCGUAAAAGGAAGCUUUGGCUACCUAGAUCCUGAAUAUUUUAGAAGACAACAGCUGGCCUGAGCUUGAUCAAACCCACGUUAGCACCGCCGUAAAAGGAAGCUUUGGCUACCUAGAUCCUGAAUAUUUUAGAAGACAACAGCUCACAGAAAAAUCUGAUGUUUAUUCUUUUGGUGUUUUUUUAUUUUAAGUUCUUUGUGCUA
rnacentral:lncRNA from 1 species